CGAGACGGCUGCGGGAGCUCGGGGGUCACCGGGCUGAGAGGGUGGCGAACGCCCUGCCACCGACCGCGGAACCUGAACUGGGUAAUGCCAGCGGAGGGAAAGCCGUGACGCUCAUCG
rnacentral:ncRNA from 2 species